UUACUCUAUGACUCUUAGAUGUGCCAGUCUUCGUGUAGAGGAAUAUACACUUUUGUUUUAUAAACCAAAUAACAUUUGAAACAAAAUGAAAUGCCAGAAAACUUUAGCAAAUGAAUUGUGAAAGUAAUGAAGUUGUAUAAAUACCAAUAGUUGCCAACAUGUAUUGGACGGUGAUGGAACUAAACCGAAUUCUUUCCUGUUUGGAAUAUCGUGCUGUGUACAAUCAAUAUAAAUGACAGAAAGGCAAUAAAUAGCUCGAAGUCCCAAAUCCCCUUCGGAAAAUAAUGUGCAAAAUAUUCUGAAUCUUAGACAGCCUAAAACCUGUGUGUAUCGGAUCUGAAUUUUUUAAGCAACCUUUAGAGUUCUUGGGAAGUCGUAUGGGAGUCUAUACUGAGGACGGCGGCCAUUUUGGAUUUAUCAGAAGAUAGCAACACUAGUGCGAAUUUUCAAAAAACCUGUUGCUUAUUCCCGCGUCCUCAUUUUUGUUGCACCGUGAAGCUAUCAGGAGGUAAGCAAACAGUCAGAAGCUGUCAUACUGUUGUGCAGUGCGAAUACAUACGCAAAGACAUAGAGACACACAUAGCCGGGCACGAUGCAAUAUACAGUAAGUUUAUGAGCGACAGCAUAGAAUCUCUAUGCCAAGCAAAAAAAAAACAAACAAACAAAAAAAAGUAUUAAACUAGCUGUUGGAUCCGGCGUAGCUCGUGUUUUCAGUGUUCAAGUUAAGCCCGCCUCUGACCGUUGAAAUUUUACACGUGAUUAUAGUUCAUGUCCAUCAGUUGAUACCAGAUCUGGAAUUAAAUUAAAACCUUUACCGUCUCCCCUACCACAAAAUUUAACUAAAUCUCAAAUUUCAUUAUCGAGUUUUCGAAAAAUCCCGACCUUAUUUGCACUUCAGGGCAUGUGAUCUACCUAUGUGCCAAAAAAGCAUUAAAAUCGGCUGAAUAGUGUGGGAGGAGUUAGAAUAACUCCGAACACACACAAAGACAGACACCAUUACACAUUUAUGUAUACAGAUUUUAUGCAGUAAACCUUUAUAACUAUUCUAAGAUUGUCUCAAGUACAAAUUUAUGGUGUUUAUCUGAUAUCUCAGUUUGUUGUUCGCUGAAUUUUAAUGUAAUGAAGGUUUAACAAAUGUAUGAUUGACAUAUUGGCUUUCUGAGAUUAAAUAACAACCAUCGCCUCAUUGAAAUAUUCUAAAAUCUAAA
rnacentral:lncRNA from 1 species